GGAAUAGGGAAGAGGGGGCAACGCCCAGGAGGAAAGACGUCCCACAAAGCUCUGCUGCCUUCCUGCCCCUGGGGCCUUUGCCCGCCCUACUACUAGGAAUAAAUCUACAAGCAGAUGCAGAAUAGCAAUAGGGCAGAGCUGGAAAGAAGACCAGGCUUUGGCUGCUGGUCCUGUCCCUGCACCAGAGUGGUUGUGUGACCUUGAAUACGUGGCUUCACUCUUCUGAGGCUUGGUGACCUCUGCUGUCAAUGGUAGAGACGACCCGGGUGUUCCCAAGAUUCCUCCUGCUGAGAGUAUCAGCAGGUCUGAGUAUCUAUAGAGACCAGGGGGGAGCCAGGUUGAGAUCAGCUACGGCUAGCAGUGCAGGAAGUGAGUCUUAAUCUGUACCUUUGCCAUUGCCAGAGAAGGGCAGGCAGCCAUGGAAGGCUGCCUUUUAAUUUCUACUAUUGUGGAGAGUAUGACUUGGGGCCACUUUACUUAGUACUUGGAGCUUCUCCAGAGCCCCACGGCUUGGGAGUCUCUGUGCUAUGACUGAUAUCCUCACUCUAGAGAAAUUUUGUGCCAAAACUUGGAAUGAAAUUGGAUAGAGAAAUUGGUCUCUUCUGGCCCCCUUCCUGAUCGGCCCCAUCAGUCAAAUGCAGCAGACUGCAACAAUACAAGAAGUUUUUCACUGAAGAGUCAGAGCACAGUAGCAAAAGUGGAUGACCAACCUGGAAGAAACUAACAGAUGCAAGAUCACUGCCUGGCUUUUCUUUCCUUACUUCAGUAAAUAUUUCAUAGAACAUCACUGAGCCCGGAAUUUCCUAGGUAAAGUGAGCAACUAAAUGAACAAUAAAAAUGAUUAUCACAUGCA